rnacentral:rRNA from 1 species
GACGAACGCUGGCGGCGUGCCUAACACAUGCAAGUCGAACGGAAGUUAGAGCUUCGGUUUUAACUUUAGUGGCGAACGGGUGAGUAACGCGUGGGUAACCUGCCGUAUACAGGGGGACAACAGUUGGAAACGACUGCUAAUACCGCAUAAGCGCACAGUACCGCAUGGUACAGUGUGAAAAACUCCGGUGGUAUACGAUGGACCCGCGUCUGAUUAGCUAGUUGGUGAGGUAACGGCUCACCAAGGCGACGAUCAGUAGCCGGCCUGAGAGGGUGAACGGCCACAUUGGGACUGAGACACGGCCCAAACUCCUACGGGAGGCAGCAGUGGGGAAUAUUGCACAAUGGGGGAAACCCUGAUGCAGCGACGCCGCGUGAGUGAAGAAGUAUUUCGGUAUGUAAAGCUCUAUCAGCAAGGAAGAAAAUGACGGUACUUGACUAAAGAAGCCCCGGCUAACUACGUG